rnacentral:misc_RNA from 1 species
AACCGACGCACAAACACACAUACACGCAUACGCUUCCGUCAUUCUCAACUCGUCGCGCACCCGCACACAUCCAGGUACACCAGCACGGUUCCGUGCGUUUAUCGUGUCGUCGCCACCGCAUCGCCUUUGGCGCCCACGACCGGAAGAGGAAGCAAGACGACACGAAGGUAAAGAGUAGCGUCGGCACGCAUCAAGACACGCACGCACGCACGAGUGCGCGUGCGUGAGCUGGCCGCGUGACGCGUAUUCAACUCACGGCUCUCGCUUUCUGUGUAGUUGAGGGAAUCGGAGGGCCUCCUCGGGAGCUAUCAUGUGGGCAGAGGCGUACCGUGCAGCCUGCGCGGAAGUGUCCGCCGAUGUGCGGGAGGACGUCAGCAGCAGCGGCUCAACUGGGGAGCUGAUUGUGCGCGGCAACACCUUUGAAAACUUCAAGAACCGCGUGACUGACACCGAUGUGCAGGCGAUACUGGCGGCGCUCCGUGUAUGCCCUGGCAUGUCUGCGCUGUAUCUCCCUUACAACAGCAUCACCAGCGAGGGUGGGGUGCUGCUCGGCAAGGCGCUCGGGCAUCAGCUUGAUAGCAUCAUCACACUAGACGUGCAGUACAACUCGCUGGGGGCGGAGGCGGGUGUUGCGAUAGCACAAGGGCUGCAGCGGAACGACUCGCUCUGCCAUGUGACGCUCGCCGGCAACCCACUUGGUGGUCGCUGCGGUGCGGCGCUCGGCGAGGCGCUGCGGCAGAACAUGAACCUUGCGGUGCUGGAUCUCUUCAACACCGACCUCGGCAUGAAGGCGCUCGUGCACAUCUGCCGCUCCUUGGAGGUGAACAAGGGACUCUCCUCGCUGAACAUCGGGCGACCGUUGCUGCACGGAGUUGACGAGCUGGAGAGCGUCGUGAAUCAUCUCUCCAUUGCUCUUCAGCGCAACUCCACACUGGAGGAGCUGCACAUGGCGUACUUUGGCCUCGUUGAUGACUGCCUGCAGACCUUGGUUCUGGCGCUCUGCGGAUCGGCAGUCACGACCCUCUGCAUCAAGGGCAACAACCUGUCGCAGGACGCCGGCCAGCUGCUGGCGCGCCUUCUGGACCGCCGGCACGACUUUCGCAAUCUCGAUGUCAGUUGCAACCGCCUGCGCGACGCCGGCGCAGAGGCUCUAGCGAAAGGCGUGGCGCACCACCCUCAACUGGAGUCUCUCGGUCUUGAGAGCUGCACGAUCGGUGAGGGUGGCCUUGUGGUACUCGUUGAAAGCCUUAAGAGCUGCGCCACUGUGCGUCGUCUAACCCUCUGGGGCAAUGAUGUGACACCGGCGGUGGCUUCCGCCCUCACUGCAACUUUUUGCGACCUGUGCGAGCUUGACCACAUUGACGUUGGCGUUGUGGAGCAAGACGGACAGGUGGUGGCCUACCGUGCCUGACGCGCGGAUACCACUGCACAAGGGGCGAUGUAGACUAUGGCGACCAGGACGAAAAACUUGAUUGCUUCGGCCGCUCCACUCGAGAGAAAGGAAAGGAUGAGUGGGAGAUGAGGAGGGCAGGGGACAUGUGAACGACUUUGUCGACUCACCACGACUCUGUGUCAAGUGUCACGCCGUACAAAAGGUGCGACACGCCGAAUCAAGGAUCUCUUCCGCCGCGUUUUUGUGCCUCCUGUUCGCCCCUUUUUCCUCACGCUGUCCACUCUCUGCGCAGUCCUCCUCCAAGGUGUAAGCGACUGCCCUCGCACCCUGUAGGCACGCUCGGGGGAGAGGGAGGGGGAACUAGGGACCCUACCCCUGGAUAUGCACCGCCGCUCAUGCAACGCCUUUGCGCGCGCACACACACACACCCUCUGCAUGUGCGUGGCCUCCUGUGCUGCACAUGCUCCACCAUGUUUUCUUCAUCAAUACGCCUUUGUGUCGCUCGUCGAUUCGAAG